rnacentral:rRNA from 1 species
GACGAACGCUGGCGGCGUGCCUAAUACAUGCAAGUAGAACGCACAGUUUAUACCGUAGCUUGCUACACCAUAGACUGUGAGUUGCGAACGGGUGAGUAACGCGUAGGUAACCUGCCUGGUAGCGGGGGAUAACUAUUGGAAACGAUAGCUAAUACCGCAUAAUAUUAAUUAUUGCAUGAUAAUUAAUUGAAAGGUGCAAUUGCACCACUACCAGAUGGACCUGCGUUGUAUUAGCUAGUAGGUGAGGUAACGGCUCACCUAGGCGACGAUACAUAGCCGACCUGGGAGGGUGGUCGGCCACACUGGGACUGAGACACGGCCCAGACUCCUACGGGAGGCAGCAGUAGGGAAUCUUCGGCAAUGGACGAAAGUCUGACCGGGCAACGCCGCGUGAGUGAAGAAGGGUUUCGGAUCGUAAAGCUCUGUUGUAAGAGAAGAACGGGUGUGAGAGUGGAAAGUUCACACUGUGACGGUAUCUUACCAGAAAGGGACGGCUAACUACGUG